GACGAACGCUGGCGGCGUGCUUAACACAUGCGAGUCGAACGGAAAGGCCCUGCUUUUGUGGGGUGCUCGAGUGGCGAAAGGGUGAGUAACACGUGAGUAACCUGCCCUUGACUUUGGGAUAACUUCAGGAAACUGGGGCUAAUACCGGAUAGGAGCUCCUGCUGCAUGGUGGGGGUUGGAAAGUUUCGGCGGUUGGGGAUGGACUCGCGGCUUAUCAGCUUGUUGGUGGGGUAGUGGCUUACCAAGGCUUUGACGGGUAGCCGGCCUGAGAGGGUGACCGGCCACAUUGGGACUGAGAUACGGCCCAGACUCCUACGGGAGGCAGCAGUGGGGAAUAUUGCACAAUGGGCGGAAGCCUGAUGCAGCAACGCCGCGUGCGGGAUGACGGCCUUCGGGUUGUAAACCGCUUUCGCCUGUGACGAAGCGUGAGUGACAGUAAUGGGUAAAGAAGCACCGGCUAACUACGUG
rnacentral:rRNA from 1 species